rnacentral:rRNA from 1 species
AGAGUUUGAUCCUGGCUCAGAUUGAACGCUGGCGGAAUGCUUUACACAUGCAAGUCGAGCGGCAGCGCGGGGGCAACCCUGGCGGCGAGCGGCGAACGGGUGAGUAACAUAUCGGAACGUGCCCAGGAGUGGGGGAUAACACAUCGAAAGAUGUGCUAAUACCGCAUAAGACCUGAGGGUGAAAGGGGGGGAUCGCAAGACCUCUCGCUGCUGGAGCGGCCGAUAUCGGAUUAGCUAGUUGGUGAGGUAAAGGCUCACCAAGGCGACGAUCCGUAGCUGGUCUGAGAGGACGACCAGCCACACUGGGACUGAGACACGGCCCAGACUCCUACGGGAGGCAGCAGUGGGGAAUUUUGGACAAUGGGGGCAACCCUGAUCCAGCCAUUCCGCGUGAGUGAAGAAGGCCUUCGGGUUGUAAAGCUCUUUCGGCAGGAACGAAACGGUGGGGGCUAAUACCUUUCAUCAAUGACGGUACCUGAAGAAGAAGCACCGGCUAACUACGUGCCAGCAGCCGCGGUAAUACGUAGGGUGCGAGCGUUAAUCGGAAUUACUGGGCGUAAAGCGUGCGCAGGCGGUUUCGUAAGACAGAUGUGAAAUCCCCGGGCUUAACCUGGGAACUGCGUUUGUGACUGCGAGACUCGAGUGUGGCAGAGGGGGGUGGAAUUCCACGUGUAGCAGUGAAAUGCGUGGAGAUGUGGAGGAACACCGAUGGCGAAAGCAGCCCCCUGGGUUAACACUGACGCUCAUGCACGAAAGCGUGGGGAGCAAACAGGAUUAGAUACCCUGGUAGUCCACGCCCUAAACGAUGCGAACUAGUGUUGGAGAAAGAGACUUCUUUAGUACCGUAGCUAACGCGCGAAGUUCGCCGCCUGGAGAGUACGGUCGCAAGAUUAAAACUCAAAGGAAUUGACGG